rnacentral:rRNA from 1 species
UAUAGAGGGUGCGAGCGUUAAUCGGAAUUACUGGGCGUAAAGGGCGCGUAGGUGGUUAGAUAAGUUAGUUGUGAAAUCCCUGGGCUUAACCUAGGAACUGCAACGAAGACUGUUUAGCUGGAGUACAGUAGAGGGUAGUGGAAUUUCCGGUGUAGCAGUGAAAUGCGUAGAUAUCGGAAGGAACAUCAGUGGCGAAGGCGGCUACCUGGACUGAUACUGACACUGAGGCGCGAAAGCGUGGGUAGCAAACAGG